CCUACGGGAGGCAGCAGUGAGGAAUAUUGGUCAAUGGGCGCGAGCCUGAACCAGCCAAGUCGCGUGAGGGAAGACGGUCCUAUGGAUUGUAAACCUCUUUUGUCGGGGAGCAAAAGACGCCACGCGUGGCGUUCCGAGAGUACCCGAAGAAAAAGCAUCGGCUAACUCCGUGCCAGCAGCCGCGGUAAUACGGAGGAUGCGAGCGUUAUCCGGAUUUAUUGGGUUUAAAGGGUGCGCAGGCGGAAUAUCAAGUCAGCGGUAAAAUUGAGGUGCUCAACCUCUGCGAGCCGUUGAAACUGGUUGUCUUGAGUGAGUGAGAAGUAUGCGGAAGGCGUGGUGUAGCGGUGAAAUGCAUAGAUAUCACGCAGAACUCCGAUUGCGAAGGCAGCAUACCGGCGCUCAACUGACGCUCAUGCACGAAAGUGUGGGUAUCGAACAGGAUUAGAUACCCCUGUAGUC
rnacentral:rRNA from 1 species